rnacentral:tRNA from 1 species
CUCUAGUUAGCCUAGUGGUUGAGGUUAUGGAUCGCCAAUCCAGAAACGGCGGGUUUGAUUCCCGUUCCAGAAG